AGUUACCAGCACGGUUAUGUGGGCGACUCUAAGGAGGACUGCCGGUGACAAACCGGAGGAAGGUGGGGAUGACGUCAAGUCAUCAUGGCCCUUACGGCCUGGGCUACACACGUGCUACAAUGGUCGGUACAAAGGGUUGCCAAGCCGCGAGGUGGAGCUAAUCCCAUAAAACCGAUCGUAGUCCGGAUCGCAGUCUGCAACUCGACUGCGUGAAGUCGGAAUCGCUAGUAAUCGUGAAUCAGAAUGUCACGGUGAAUACGUUCCCGGGCCUU
rnacentral:rRNA from 1 species